rnacentral:rRNA from 1 species
UAGGGAAUCUUCCACAAUGGACGCAAGUCUGAUGGAGCAACGCCGCGUGAGUGAAGAAGGUUUUCGGACCGUAAAGCUCUGUUGUUGGUGAAGAAGGAUAGAGGUAGUAACUGGCCUUUAUUUGACGGUAAUCAACCAGAAAGUCACGGCUAACUACGUGCCAGCAGCCGCGGUAAUACGUAGGUGGCAAGCGUUGUCCGGAUUUAUUGGGCGUAAAGCGAGCGCAGGCGGAAGAAUAAGUCUGAUGUGAAAGCCCUCGGCUUAACCGAGGAAUUGCAUCGGAAACUGUUUUCUUGAGUGCAGAAGAGGAGAGUAGAACUCCAUGUGUAGCGGUGGAAUGCGUAGAUAUAUGGAAGAAUACCAGUGGCGAAGGCGGCUCUCUGGUCUGCAACUGACGCUGAGGCUCGAAAGCAUGGGUAGCGAACAGGAUUAGAUACCCCUUGGU